rnacentral:rRNA from 1 species
GUUCGGAAUUACUGGGCGUAAAGGGCGCGUAGGCGGCCUGCUAAGUCGGACGUGAAAUCCCCGGGCUCAACCCGGGAACUGCGUCCGAUACUGGUGGGCUCGAAUCCGGGAGAGGGAUGCGGAAUUCCAGGUGUAGCGGUGAAAUGCGUAGAUAUCUGGAGGAACACCGGUGGCGAAGGCGGCAUCCUGGACCGGUAUUGACGCUGAGGCGCGAAAGCCAGGGGAGCAAACGGG